UACGGAGGGAGCUAGCGUUGUUCGGAAUUACUGGGCGUAAAGCGCGCGCAGGCGGUGCGGUAAGUCCGUCGUGAAAUCUCCCGGCUCAACUGGGAGGGUGCGGUGGAGACUGCCGGACUGGAGGCACUCAGAGGCCGGUGGAAUUCCCGGUGUAGUGGUGAAAUGCGUAGAGAUCGGGAAGAACACCAGUGGCGAAGGCGGCCGGCUGGGGGCGCCCUGACGCUGAGGCGCGAGAGCGUGGGGAGCAAACCGG
rnacentral:rRNA from 1 species